rnacentral:lncRNA from 1 species
CCAUAACGGGGCGGGGGGGAAACGGGGCGCCCCAUAGGGGAACGGCCAUAUAUGGGGACGUGGGGGGGGCACGGACAUGUAUGGGGUCACUGCCGGGUAUGGGGUCAUUGUCACAUAUGGGGUCACUGUCCUCUAUGGGGUCACUGUCAUAUUUGGGGACAUAUGGGGUCACUGUCGGGUAUGGGGUCACAUUUGGGGUCAUUGUCCCAUAUGGGGUCAUUGUCACAUAUGGGGUCACUGUCAUAUUUAGGGACAUAUGGGGUCACUGUCACAUAUGGGGUCACAUUUGGGGUCGUUGUCCCAUAUGGGGUCAUUGUCAUAUUUGGGGACAUAUGGGGUCACUGUCGCAUAUGGGGUCAUUGCCAUAUAUGGGAUCAUUGUCACAUAUGGGGUCAUUGUCACAUAUGGGGUCAUUGCCACAUAUGGGGUCAUUGUCACAUAUGGGGUCACUGCCAUUUAUGGGGUCACUGUCGGGUAUGGGGUCACAUUUGGGGUUGUUGUCCCAUAUGGGGUCACUGUCAUAUUAGGGGACAUAUGGGGUCACUGUCACAUAUGGGGUCAUUGCCAUAUAUGGGGUCAUUGUCACAUAUGGGGUCACUGUUGGGUAUGGGGUCACAUUUGGGGUCAUUGUCCCAUAUGGGGUCAUUGUCAUAUUUGGGGUCACUGUCACAUAUGGGGUCAUUGUCCCAUAUGGGGUCAUUGUUGGGUAUGGGGUCAUUGUC